rnacentral:lncRNA from 1 species
UAGCUCAGACUAUUUUCGCCACAAGGAGUCAUGGUGCAGGGAGAUCUGCUGUCCGCCGCCAUGACUAGGCAUGCACACGCUGUCGUACGGACCUGGCAAGGGCAGUAGGGUAUUCGCUGGUAGUCGGGGAUGGUGCGCGUUGCAUCAUCAGGCAAAGCGCGACGAUCUCGGUUGAUGAAUUCCUCACCGGGAUGGAGCUCCACCGCAGGUCUGUCGCGUGUCGUGGCCAUGGCAUUAGCGCUGCUAGAAUCACAGUGAGCAACCCUUCAACAGUAUGGUAUCGUUACCCUCUAUGUGAUUACUUUCUUUGAUUGGAGUUCGAACAUGGAAGUCAAGCUUGUUUAGAGGUCAGCCAUGGCGCCUCCAUGGGCACUCUGUGCCGCCGUGUGCGGAGUUGGGGAAGAGAGAGUUGAGGGUGAUGUGGUAGAGGAGCGUUGACCAUGGGAUCUUGAUCCUGUGAUCAGGACUGGGUACCAGUUCGUGGGGGGAUCCUGGGCAUUGAAGUUUAAUCUAGCGGACAGGAUGGGUGAGGGAGCUAUACGGAUCGUGGUCAUUGGAUCCUGGAUGAAGAGUGCAGAUGAGAUCCCAGGUUAACCGUUCGACUUUUUAAUCUGGGCGGUCGGGUUUAGAUCCGACGGUUGAGAUGUGCCCAUACCUCUUCGACCUGGCAAAAUCACUAAAGAUACCCUGGACUUUAUAAUAACUAACCCGCCAUCCAGUCCAAUUGGGAAGUAAUUACAGAUAGAUACGAUUUUAUUCAAAAUAGACCCUGCCCAAUAGAACCCACAGUACAUAUAAGCUUUGAAAUUUAUAAAAUAAAUCUGAAAUUGAUUUUUAAUAAAAAAAUAAUUCCAGAACCUUGUAUAAUUCAUAUUUAAUUAAUUUUAACUCCAAAUUGAUUCAUUCCAGUGGCAUUAAUUUUGUUUUAAUGUUGUUUAUCACCAAGUGACUCUGUUUAGCCAUGAAAUUUGGAUUAAAAUUAUUCACUUGAAUUUAGUCUAUACUAAGCACUAGAAACUUAAAAAAUCAUAACUCGAUAACCGUAACUCCGAAUUUAGCGAUUCUUGUUCCUUUGAUCUUGUUACAACAUGUAGAAUAUUCUUACGAAUUUUGUUCUUAUGCUUGGUGUAAUGUUAAUUUUGCCUAUGCCAUGUUUGUUUGUAUUUCUACGACUAGCGCGAGGUUACGAGCCACCUGAAGAGCAAGUUGGUACCUGGAAUCUCAAUUCCCAGGCAAGUUGUGCCCUUGAUCACUUCUUUUUACCCAAUCAUGUUCUUAUUAAUCAUAAUGAUCUGCAUAGGUUAAUUUUGAUGGGACCCAAUAGGUUACCCUAGUUUGGCUAUCUUUAUACCUUGUUUACCACUGAAUUUUUGGGUAGUACCUGCUAUUGCUUUAUAUGGUUUUGGGUAUAGAGAUAUACAUUAUUCAUGAUCACACUUUUAUUAUCAGUUGUUAUUUACUGUUCAUGAUAAGAUCAUUAUGUUAACUAGAAAAUGGAGAACCACCCGAGAAAACAGUGCUACCACAAGGGUGGCAUGGGACGCCCUUGGCUGACUAAUUAGGAAAGCUAGUGGAGGUCUACCUUACCCGAAAGGGGCAAGGGCAGUAGGGGAGUGGUCAGUGUAAGGAGGCCCUUGGGUUGAUUUUGUUGCGAUGGCGGUUAGGCGAGGGGUCCCUGCAUUGGAGCUUCAUAGAAACUGUAGCGGGUUUUCUGAUGCUAGUGGAACUUUGUAAAGGCCUUGUAGUGUUACCCUGCCUCGCCUCCUCGGUAGAGGUUUAUGGGAAGUCGCAAUCCCUUGGCAUAUGGGUAACAUGACUUGUGGGUAAAGAUGUGCAACCUCUGUAGAGUGUAAAACUGGUAUACUAGCUGUGCUUACGGUCAUGAGCAGCUCAGACACUCACAUGAUUAAUUUAUGAAAUUAAAUUCAAUUUGUCAUUUGCAUCACAUUGGGAUUAUUUAUUAUUUUGUUCUACUACUUAAUUGGGUUGGUAUAUACUUAUACUUAGUAAUUGCUAAUAAAAUUUUGACCAACUUUAAAAGCAAUGCUCAGCUCUAACCAUCCUCUUUGGUGAGCCUUACACUUCACAUGAGCUCCCACCUUUGGCGAGUUCAUGCACAUUAUUCCCCACAACUUAUUGAGCGAUGAACGUAUAUGAGCUCACUCUUGCUGUCUCACACCCCCCACAGGUCAAGAACAGGUAUCGCAGGAUGAGGCGCAUGAAGGAUGCUGUGACGAGUUCGUGAGAGGUCUAGGCGGUCGUCUCCCAGUCAACUUUGGGUUGCUGGAUUGUUGUCUCCUUAUGAUGUAAUUAUUUAUUUAUUUUGUACAGAACUCCUAUUAUUUAGUAAUGAUGUGAUAUUCAUUUCUGUACCAUGAUUCAUUAUAUGUGUGAGACUUGGUCCCAGCACACCUGGUGAUU